UAGGGAAUCUUCCGCAAUGGGCGAAAGCCUGACGGAGCAACGCCGCGUGAGUGAUGAAGGUCUUCGGAUCGUAAAACUCUGUUAUUAGGGAAGAACAAAUGUGUAAGUAACUAUGCACGUCUUGACGGUACCUAAUCAGAAAGCCACGGCUAACUACGUGCCAGCAGCCGCGGUAAUACGUAGGUGGCAAGCGUUAUCCGGAAUUAUUGGGCGUAAAGCGCGCGUAGGCGGUUUUUUAAGUCUGAUGUGAAAGCCCACGGCUCAACCGUGGAGGGUCAUUGGAAACUGGAAAACUUGAGUGCAGAAGAGGAGAGUGGAAUUCCAUGUGUAGCGGUGAAAUGCGCAGAGAUAUGGGGGAACACCAGUGGCGAAGGCGACUUUCUGGUCUGUAACUGACGCUGAUGUGCGAAAGCGUGGGGAUCAAACAGG
rnacentral:rRNA from 1 species